UGAGCAGUGGCUGUUAUCUCCAUCAAGCGAAUACGGCUUCUGUGGCUCAGCUGCAGUUACAGUAGUUGCAGGAGGAGUGUGCCAGCCAGAGGGAAGACAGUGUCUAAAGCCCGUGGCCUGAAGGCCUCUAGACGCUAUCCAACUGCCAAACAAGUUGAGGGUUCAGUGAACAGAGCUUUAAAGAACGACCAAAAUUAGCACCAGGAAUGCAGUUCAGCGGAGAAGAUAUAAAACAGGUCAAAUCAGGAUUCUUUUCAAGAAACCACAGGCAUGUGCUAAGGAGACUGAAGACUUCCCACAUCUAAGGCUUCACUGGGGGGCUGUAGCUGAAGUCUCGCCAAGCAAGGCAUGCCCUAGCAAAGCCCAAUCCACAAGUGAGGUCGGCACAAUCAAAGACUGCAAUUACAGCUCCCUGGCUGUGGUUAGGCUUCAAAGAAAGUGCUGCAAGUCACAUUUUACAUAUGUGAAGUCUUGAGCCUGAGCCACAAUAGGAGGCACUGUCUGUGCCAUUUGCAGUGUACAUGACUGCAGGAGGGAAGAGAAAAAACUUGAAUAAGAAACAGAAAUAAAUUCAACAAUAAUUCAGUGUAAGAAGAAAAGCCUCACUACCGACAUGAUAAACUGGAUUUCAGGAAUCGCUGCAGUAAGAAUAAAGCCUCCUAACAAGCCAGGGCUCAGUGGCUGAGGGCGAGCAUUAGAGAGGGAUCAAAAUUCCUCCCCCACUCUUUGAAAUGAGAUGGAUUGAAGGGUGGGUCCACAAAGGCCUUACGCUCCUCCUCUCUUCUUCCCUAGUCUUUAACUCAUCUGCAUUUUGCUGGAACAAGUUAGGGAGGAUUAUGCAGCUUCAUCCAGGUCAUGCUAAUUGGAAGAGCUAGCUGAAGAAACUUAAAAGGGUCUGGGUAUGUAAAGGAGCAAGUAGAGAGUAAGAGAGAAAGCUAACCUUCACAGAAGGCAAGACGAAGAACUUCAAAACAGGCCUUAUUUUCUUCACCUUUCUCCUACUAUUGGUUAUUUUCAUACAGAUGUAAAGAGAGUCAGGAAGACAGAUAGGUGUAUAUGUGGGGUUUUUUUUUUAAAAAAAGACUAAACCUGGCUUUUAAUCCAGUACUUCAAACAACAUGGCAAACUCAGGGGCCCAACGACUGGACUGAAAACUGCAUCAUUUUCUUCUGAAGUCCAAAACAAACAAGUUCAGCGUAGUGCCAGCAUUUAGUCAAUACUGCAGAAACUUGAGUAUGCAAAACCAGGCCGUUAUGUAGCAGAAAGGUUCGCUCCGUGUGUGAAGCCCCUUUGUGUUUUCUUAAGCAGCAGAGCUGUAAAGAGAUUCAAGCACAAGACGGAUGCAGGCACUGCAGUCUGCUCCCCUUCCUGCCCAGCUGUGCCAUGGUUUGUGGGGUUAGCCUAAACCAAAUCCUUAAAAUGUUCUGGGCGAACAAAAACAAACACUCCAUAACCUUUGUUGUUUUUAAACAAAAAAAAACCCACCUCCCAACAAAACCCUAAUCAUUUCAGUAAUCCGAUUUGCUGCAGGGUCCUGCAAGCUGUUACAGCACACGGACAGAGACACCUACGGGAGACAGGACCAAGCUCUCCCUGCAAGAGCUGGAUACGAGCAGGCAGCAGAGGAAACCUUUUAAGCUGCCUUUGUUGCCAAAGAAACUACAUAAAACUCUACCCUGAAACUCUAACAGAUAUUGCUGUGCUGAAGCUAUGUCAACGACAAUAAUUCUUCUUAUUUUUUUUUUCCUUGCUACUGUUAACCUCAGCCCGUUGCUGGUAACUGUGGAAGGAGUCGAAAUAUCGACUAGUGUUUUAAGAUGCCUUGAAGUAGCUCCCCCCGAAAAUACCUCUGCACCGACUACAGACAGAGCCUCGUGUCCUAACUUCUGCCUGCUUGCUUGGGCCUAAGCUAGAUGCACUGAGUAAGCAGCAGCAAUACUCUUUCCCUCUUAUGAGUCAGAGACCUAUUUCAGUGCAGGUUAGUAUCAGUGCUGGAAACACCCAGGUAUUUUAAGGCUGGUACUUUGUACAGCUGAAGUUAGCGAUGCCAACACAGGCAUCACCCCUUACCAAAGGACCCCAGCAUAGGCAGUAUGAAACUGGAAGCUCUGUCGCUGAGCAGCAAUCUAAAAUGAUUCUGCUGGACGAUCUGUGACGUGUUUUUCCUCUUGGGAGGAUGGGGAGGUUCCAUACUUAAAAUAAUAAACAGGUUAACUCUAGACAGCUGUCUCUAGUAGCUCCUCAGAGAAGGAUAAUAUACUAAAAAUGAUGUGCAAGAGAAGCAAAAAUAAAAGAGCGUGCACCUCUUUUGUAUA